UGCGCCUGGAAAGUAUGAGCUCAAGCUUAAAACCCAAAGAACCUGGCGGUGCUUCAACCCCCUAGAGGAGCCUGUUCUAGAACCGAUAAUCCACGUUAAACCUCACCACUUCUAGCAAUUUCAGCCUAUAUACCGCCGUCGUCAGCUUAUCUAAAUGAAAGAAAAGUAAUAAGCUAAAUUGACCACUCUCAAGCACGUCAGGUCGAGGUGUAGCAUAUGAAGUGGAAAGAAAUGGGCUACAUUUUUUAUUAUAAAAUAUCACGAACGAGACUAUGAAAAAGACUUUAGAAGGAGGAUUUAGAAGUAAAAUAAGA
rnacentral:rRNA from 1 species